rnacentral:rRNA from 1 species
GUCCUUUUGAUAUUUAUUUAAGGUCUGGCCUGCCCACUGAUUUAUUUAAUGGCCGCGGUAUAUUGACCGUGCAAAGGUAGCAUAAUCAUUUGUCUUUUAAUUGAAGGCUAGAAUGAAUGGUUAGACGAGAAAAGUUCUUUCUUUAUAUUUAUUUUUUGAAUUUAAUUUUUUAGUUAAAAAGCUAAAAUGUAUUUAUGGGACGAGAAGACCCUAUAGAAUUUUAUAGUUUUUAUAUUAUAUAAUAUUUGGUUUAUUUGAUUUAUAUAAUGUAUAUAUUAUUUUGUUGGGGCGACAAGAAAAUUUUUUUAACUUUUCUAUAAAAAUUUCAUUGAUGUAUGUUUUGAUGAUCUUAUAUUAUGGAUAAUUAGAUUAAAUUACCUUAGGGAUAACAGCGUUAUUUAAUUGGAGAGUUCUUAUCGAUAAUUAAGUUUGCGA